UCGAACGGCAGCACGGGAGCAAUCCUGGUGGCGAGUGGCGAACGGGUGAGUAAUAUAUCGGAACGUGCCCAGUCGUGGGGGAUAACGCAGCGAAAGCUGUGCUAAUACCGCAUACGAUCUAUGGAUGAAAGCGGGGGAUCGCAAGACCUCGCGCGAUUGGAGCGGCCGAUAUCAGAUUAGGUAGUUGGUGGGGUAAAAGCCCACCAAGCCGACGAUCUGUAGCUGGUCUGAGAGGACGACCAGCCACACUGGAACUGAGACACGGUCCAGACUCCUACGGGAGGCAGCAGUGGGGAAUUUUGGACAAUGGGCGCAAGCCUGAUCCAGCAAUGCCGCGUGCAGGAUGAAGGCCUUCGGGUUGUAAACUGCUUUUGUACGGAACGAAACGGUCCUUUCUAAUACAAGGGGCUAAUGACGGUACCGUAAGAAUAAUCUGUGUACGUG
rnacentral:rRNA from 1 species